GGUGGUUCUUGGGUGACACACACUGGAAUCAGACUCCCUCCUCUCUGGUUCCAGGUGUGUCACCCAAGAACUGCA
rfam:Myotis lucifugus cont2.31883, whole genome shotgun sequence.